rnacentral:ncRNA from 1 species
CUUAGACAAAGCCAAAGCCCGGGAGACCGGGUGUCGGAAAGCCACAGACCCGGCAAUAGCAAGAGGCAGGAAAGCGAGCUCAAGGUUCGCGAUAAUGAAAUCAUCCUGCAUAUUAAAGGAAAAGUGCCGGGUAGCUGGGUUGCCUUG